rnacentral:rRNA from 1 species
AAAUUGAAGAGUUUGAUCAUGGCUCAGAUUGAACGCUGGCGGCAGGCCUAACACAUGCAAGUCGAACGGUAACAGGAAACAGCUUGCUGUUUCGCUGACGAGUGGCGGACGGGUGAGUAAUGUCUGGGAAACUGCCUGAUGGAGGGGGAUAACUACUGGAAACGGUAGCUAAUACCGCAUAACGUCGCAAGACCAAAGAGGGGGACCUUCGGGCCUCUUGCCAUCGGAUGUGCCCAGAUGGGAUUAGCUAGUAGGUGGGGUAACGGCUCACCUAGGCGACGAUCCCUAGCUGGUCUGAGAGGAUGACCAGCCACACUGGAACUGAGACACGGUCCAGACUCCUACGGGAGGCAGCAGUGGGGAAUAUUGCACAAUGGGCGCAAGCCUGAUGCAGCCAUGCCGCGUGUAUGAAGAAGGCCUUCGGGUUGUAAAGUACUUUCAGCGGGGAGGAAGGGAGUAAAGUUAAUACCUUUGCUCAUUGACGUUACCCGCAGAAGAAGCACCGGCUAACUCCGUGCCAGCAGCCGCGGUAAUACGGAGGGUGCAAGCGUUAAUCGGAAUUACUGGGCGUAAAGCGCACGCAGGCGGUUUGUUAAGUCAGAUGUGAAAUCCCCGGGCUCAACCUGGGAACUGCAUCUGAUACUGGCAAGCUUGAGUCUCGUAGAGGGGGGUAGAAUUCCAGGUGUAGCGGUGAAAUGCGUAGAGAUCUGGAGGAAUACCGGUGGCGAAGGCGGCCCCCUGGACGAAGACUGACGCUCAGGUGCGAAAGCGUGGGGAGCAAACAGGAUUAGAUACCCUGGUAGUCCACGCCGUAAACGAUGUCGACUUGGAGGUUGUGCCCUUGAGGCGUGGCUUCCGGAGCUAACGCGUUAAGUCGACCGCCUGGGGAGUACGUACCGCAAGGUUAAAACUCAAAUGAAUUGACGGGGGCCCGCACAAGCGGUGGAGCAUGUGGUUUAAUUCGAUGCAACGCGAAGAACCUUACCUGGUCUUGACAUCCACGGAAGUUUUCAGAGAUGAGAAUGUGCCUUCGGGAACCGUGAGACAGGUGCUGCAUGGCUGUCGUCAGCUCGUGUUGUGAAAUGUUGGGUUAAGUCCCGCAACGAGCGCAACCCUUAUCCUUUGUUGCCAGCGGUCCGGCCGGGAACUCAAAGGAGACUGCCAGUGAUAAACUGGAGGAAGGUGGGGAUGACGUCAAGUCAUCAUGGCCCUUACGACCAGGGCUACACACGUGCUACAAUGGCGCAUACAAAGAGAAGCGACCUCGCGAGAGCAAGCGGACCUCAUAAAGUGCGUCGUAGUCCGGAUUGGAGUCUGCAACUCGACUCCAUGAAGUCGGAAUCGCUAGUAAUCGUGGAUCAGAAUGCCACGGUGAAUACGUUCCCGGGCCUUGUACACACCGCCCGUCACACCAUGGGAGUGGGUUGCAAAAGAAGUAGGUAGCUUAACCUUCGGGAGGGCGCUUACCACUUUGUGAUUCAUGACUGGGGUGAAGUCGUAACAAGGUAACCGUAGGGGAACCUGCGGUUGGAUCACCUCCUUA